rnacentral:rRNA from 1 species
ACGAACGCUGGCGGCGUGCUUAACACAUGCCAGUCGAACGGAAAGGCCCUGCUUGCAGGGUACUCGAGUGGCGAACGGGUGAGUAACACGUGGGUGAUCUGCCCUGCACUUCGGGAUAAGCCUGGGAAACUGGGUCUAAUACCGGAUAGGAGCCAUUUUUAGUGUGAUGGUUGGAAAGUUUUUUCGGUGUAGGAUGAGCUCGCGGCCUAUCAGCUUGUUGGUGGGGUAAUGGCCUACCAAGGCGGCGACGGGUAGCCGGCCUGAGAGGGUGGACGGCCACAUUGGGACUGAGAUUCGGCCCAGACUCCUACGGGAGGCAGCAGUGGGGAAUAUUGCACAAUGGGCGCAAGCCUGAUGCAGCGACGCCGCGUGGGGGAUGACGGCCUUCGGGUUGUAAACUCCUUUCGCUAGGGACGAAGCUUUUUGUGACGGUACCUAGAUAAGAAGCACCGGCUAACUACGU